rnacentral:rRNA from 1 species
GACGAACGCUGGCGGCGUGCCUAAUACAUGCAAGUAGGACGCACAGUCUAUACCGUAGCUUGCUACACCAUAGACUGUGAGUUGCGAACGGGUGAGUAACGCGUAGGUAACCUGCCUAUUAGAGGGGGAUAACUAUUGGAAACGAUAGCUAAUACCGCAUAACAGUAUGUAACACAUGUUAGAUGCUUGAAAGAUGCAAUUGCAUCGCUAGUAGAUGGACCUGCGUUGUAUUAGCUAGUAGGUAGGGUAAUGGCCUACCUAGGCGACGAUACAUAGCCGACCUGAGAGGGUGAUCGGCCACACUGGGACUGAGACACGGCCCAGACUCCUACGGGAGGCAGCAGUAGGGAAUCUUCGGCAAUGGGGGGAACCCUGACCGAGCAACGCCGCGUGAGUGAAGAAGGUUUUCGGAUCGUAAAGCUCUGUUGUUAAGGAAGAACGAGUGUGAGAAUGGAAAGUUCAUACUGUGACGGUACUUAACCAGAAAGGGACGGCUAACUACGUGCCAGCAGCCGCGGUAAUACGUAGGUCCCGAGCGUUGUCCGGAUUUAUUGGGCGUAAAGCGAGCGCAGGCGGUUAGAAAAGUCUGAAGUGAAAGGCAGUGGCUCAACCAUUGUAGGCUUUGGAAACUGUUUAACUUGAGUGCAGAAGGGGAGGGUGGAAUUCCAUGUGUAGCGGUGAAAUGCGUAGAUAUAUGGAGGAACACCGGUGGCGAAAGCGGCUCUCUGGUCUGUAACUGACGCUGAGGCUCGAAAGCGUGGGGAGCGAACAGG